GAUGAACGCUGGCGGCGUGCCUAAUACAUGCAAGUCGAGCGAACAGAUAAGGAGCUUGCUCCUUUGACGUUAGCGGCGGACGGGUGAGUUACACGUGGAUAACCUACCUAUAAGACUGGGAUAACUUCGGGAAACCGGAGCUAAUACCGGAUAACAUAUUGAACCGCAUGGUUCAAUAGUGAAAGGCGGCUUUGCUGUCACUUAUAGAUGGAUCCGCGCCGUAUUAGCUAGUUGGUAAGGUAACGGCUUACCAAGGCAACGAUACGUAGCCGACCUGAGAGGGGGAGCGCACACAGUGGACGUGAGACAGGGCCGAGCCCCCUAGGGGGGGAAGAAGUGGGGAUUCUCCCGGAAUGGGGGAAAGCGUAAGGGAGCACCCCCGGGGGAUGAAUAAAGUUUUUCGGAUCUAAAACCUCUUUUACGGGGGAAAAAAAAUGUGGUAAGUACCUGUCCACUCCUGGAGGGUACUGAAUAAGAAGCCCACGCCUAACCCGGUC
rnacentral:rRNA from 1 species